rnacentral:misc_RNA from 1 species
GAUGAAGAACGUAGCGAAAUGCGAUAAGUAGUGUGAAUUGCAGAAUUCAGUGAAUCAUCGAAUCUUUGAACGCACAUUGCGCCCUUUGGUAUUCCUUAGGGCAUGCCUGUUCGAGCGUCAUUUAAACCUUCAAGCUAAGCUUGGUGUUGGGUGACUGUCCGCUUCACGGUGGACUCGCCUCAAAAUUAUUGGCGGCCGGUACAUUGGCUUCGAGCGCAGCAGAAACGCGAACUCGGGCCCGUCGUAUUGGCUCCCAGAAGCUAUCUUCACAAUUUUGACCUCGGAUCAGGUAGGGAUACCCGCUGAACUUAAGCAUAUCAAUAAGCGGAGGA